rnacentral:lncRNA from 14 species
CCUGGUCCCCAAUAUGGGAGGGACACGGGCAGCAGGGCCCUGCAGAUGUGUGACUGUCCCCUCCCGUGUCACCCAGAGCAGCUCCAGCCCUUUGUGCGUGACGAGGCGUGACGCGACAUUGGGGGGCGACUCCCCCACGACCACCCCCUCCCCUCCCCUCCACCGCUGCCAUCGCCCCCCCCAGGUCCCUGUCACUGCCACCCCCUCUGUCCCAUCACUCGUCUCACCGUCCCCACGCAGCGCACACGCGUGUUCCCGUCUCGCUGGUGGCCAUGCCGGGGGGGGGGUCUCGGCUGUCCCCAGGUGUCCCCAAGUGUCCCCUCACCGCCACGCCCGAGUGGUGGCACCGGGACCAGCCCACCCUGGGGACACCUCGGGGUCCCUCCGGGGGACACGGCAGCCCCAGGGCAGCCGCGGAGCGCCGUGCCUCGGUGACAGGAGGUGGCACCGGAGGGGUGUCCCCUGUGGGACCCCCCCGAGGGCCCCCCCGGCCCCGCUGGCUCCGUCAAUCAGCGCUGGCCCCGCUCCCGGUGCGGAACAUGGAGGGCCCCGAGCUGCUCCGGCUCUGGGCGCUGGCAGCCCUGGCCCUGGGCGUGUCCCUGGCCACUGUCCCCGACCACCACGUCCUCCCCGAGCUCCGCGUCCCCGCCGAGACCGGAGCCAUCUUCGUCCACGAGCUGGAGAGGGAGCCCUUCCUGGAGGCCUUCAGCGGCAGCGAGGAUGAUGAUGCCCCGGUGACCUUCCGUGCCCACCUGUGGGGACACCCGGACCUGCCGCGGUGGCUGCGCCUGGCGCAGCGGGGCCCCGGCCAGCCCGGCUUCCUGUACGGCUGCCCCGGAGCCCCGGAGCUGGGCAUGCACAGCAUCCAGGUAUGGGCUGGGCACCCACAGCGUCCAGGUAUGGGCUGGGCACACACAGCGUCCAGGUGUGAGCUGGGCACGCACAGCAUCCAGGUAUGGGCUGGGCACCCACAGCGUCCAGGUAUGGGCUGGGCACACACAGUGUCCAGGUAUGGGCUGGGCACACACAGCGUCCAGGUAUGGGCUGGGCACACACAGCGUCCAGGUGUGGGCUGGGCACACACAGCGUCCAGGUAUGGGCUGGGCACACACAGCGUCCAGGUGUGA